ensembl:lncRNA
GUGAGAAGGCACCUGUCAAGCCAAGGAGAGAUACCUCAGAAGAAACCAAACCUGCAGACUUCUGGACUUCAGUCCUCCAGAACUGGACCAGAAGUUUCACCGCCUUUUUCCAGACCUCUAGGAGAACUGGUUGGAUGAGGUGGUUGGAUGGCAUCACCGACUCAAUGGACAUGAGUUUGGGUAGACUCCAGGAGUUGGUGAUGGACAGGGAGGCCUGGCGUGCUGCAGUCCAUGGGGUCACAAAGAAUUGGAC